AUUGAACGCUGGCGGCAGGCCUAACACAUGCAAGUCGAGCGGAUGAUGGGAGCUUGCUCCUGGAUUCAGCGGCGGACGGGUGAGUAAUGCCUAGGAAUCUGCCUGGUAGUGGGGGACAACGUUUCGAAAGGAACGCUAAUACCGCAUACGUCCUACGGGAGAAAGCAGGGGACCUUCGGGCCUUGCGCUAGCAGAUGAGCCUAGGUCGGAUAGCUUGUUGGUGAGGUAAUGGCUCACCAAGGCGACGAUCCGUAACUGGUCUGAGAGGAUGAUCAGUCACACUGGAACUGAGACACGGUCCAGACUCCUACGGGAGGCAGCAGUGGGGAAUAUUGGACAAUGGGCGAAAGCCUGAUCCAGCCAUGCCGCGUGUGUGAAGAAGGUCUUCGGAUUGUAAAGCACUUUAAGUUGGGAGGAAGGGUUGUAGAUUAAUACUCUGCAAUUUUGACGUUACCGACAGAAUAAGCACCGGCUAACUCUGUGCCAGCAGCCGCCGCGGUAA
rnacentral:rRNA from 1 species